GGGGAGCAAACAGGAUUAGAUACCCUGGUAGUCCACGCCCUAAACGAUGUCAACUAGCUGUUGGGGCCUUCGGACCUUGGUAGCGCAGCUAACGCGUGAAGUUGACCGCCUGGGGAGUACGGUCGCAAGAUUAAAACUCAAAGGAAUUGACGGGGACCCGCACAAGCGGUGGAUGAUGUGGAUUAAUUCGAUGCAACGCGAAAAACCUUACCUACCCUUGACAUGUCUGGAAUUCCGAAGAGAUUUGGAAGUGCUCGCAAGAGAACCGGAACACAGGUGCUGCAUGGCUGUCGUCAGCUCGUGUCGUGAGAUGUUGGGUUAAGUCCCGCAACGAGCGCAACCCUUGUCAUUAGUUGCUACGAAAGGGCACUCUAAUGAGACUGCCGGUGACAAACCGGAGGAAGGUGGGGAUGACGUCAAGUCCUCAUGGCCCUUAUGGGUAGGGCUUCACACGUCAUACAAUGGUCGGGACAGAGGGUCGCCAACCCGCGAGGGGGAGCCAAUCCCAGAAACCCGAUCGUAGUCCGGAUCGCAGUCUGCAACUCGACUGCGUGAAGUCGGAAUCGCUAGUAAUCGCGGAUCAGCAUGUCGCGGUGAAUACGUUCCCGGGUCUUGUACACACCGCCCGUCACACCAUGGGAGUGGGUUUUACCAGAAGUAGUUAGCCUAACCGUAAGGGGGGCGA
rnacentral:rRNA from 1 species